UUUGGUCAUGGCUCCUGCGUACUGCACCAACCUAUCCCAACCUCCUGACUUCCAAGCUCAGUUCUCAUCCAUGGCUGUUUCUGCCAAGCUAGCCAAGGUAUUAGUCUUCAUUCUCCUCAUGCAGAUCCUUGACUCGGCAAAAGCAAGAACACUGGAACUCCACGCACGCGUGGCCGGAGAGCUCCUCGAGGAUAGUCGUGGCGAAGAGACAGCGGAAUGGCAGCAGCCGACUUCACCAGGACACAGCCCCAGUAUCGGCCAUGGCAACCCUCCUGGAGCCCAGCAGCCGACUUAACCGGGACACAGCCCAAGCGUCGGCCAUGGGAGCCAUCCUGAUACCCAGACCUGACGACUCGCAUCUUUCGGUGCUACUGCUCCUAGCUUAGAACGAGCUGCCGGAUGAAUCUUUUUUGCCUAUGUGUUGUGUGGUUUCAUUUCUUAUGUUGUUUUCAUGUACCUGAAGAUGAUACGUGUGAGGUUCCUCGUAUGAUAAUAAAGUUGAUUCUGAGUAACUGCGUCACUGCCAAAGUGGGUGUUUUGUUUCCAUUCU
rnacentral:lncRNA from 1 species